rnacentral:rRNA from 1 species
UACGUAGGGUGCGAGCGUUGUCCGGAUUUAUUGGGCGCAAAGGGCUCGUAGGCGGCGUGUCGCGUCGGGAGUGAAAGACCGGGGCUUAACCCCGGUUCUGCUUCCGGUACGGGCAUGCUGGAGUGUGGCAGGGGAGACUGGAAGUUCCUGGUGUAGCGGUGGAAUGACGCAGAUAUCAGGAGGAACACCGGUGGCGAAGGCGGGUCUCUGGGCCAUUACUGACGCUGAGGAGCGAAAGCGUGGGGAGCGAACAGG